UUUCUAUGAUGAAUCAAACUAGUUCACUAUGACUGACAAUGAAAAUACAUGAAAAGCUGAGAAAC
ensembl:snoRNA SNORD29 Small nucleolar RNA SNORD29